rnacentral:tRNA from 1 species
GCAGGAUUCGUCUAUCGGUAGGGCACCAGCUUCCCAAGCUGGUUAGGCGGGUUCGACUCCCGUAUCCUGCU